GACGAACGCUGGCGGCGUGCUUAACACAUGCAAGUCGAACGAUGAAGCUGGAGCUUGCUCCGGUGGAUUAGUGGCGAACGGGUGAGUAACACGUGAGCAAUCUGCCCUUCACUCUGGGAUAACUGCGGGAAACUGUAGCUAAUACCCGAUACGAGACCUUGGGGCAUCCCAGGGUCUGGAAAGAAUUUCGGUGAAGGAUGAGCUCGCGGCCUAUCAGCUAGUUGGUGAGGUAAUGGCUCACCAAGGCGACGACGGGUAGCCGGCCUGAGAGGGUGACCGGCCACACUGGGACUGAGACACGGCCCAGACUCCUACGGGAGGCAGCAGUGGGGAAUAUUGCACAAUGGGCGAAAGCCUGAUGCAGCAACGCCGCGUGAGGGAUGAUGGCCUUCGGGUUGUAAACCUCUUUUAGUAGGGAAGAAGCGCAAGUGACGGUACCUACAGAAAAAGCACCGGCUAACUACGUGCCAGCAGCCGCCGUAA
rnacentral:rRNA from 1 species